GAUGAAUAACGUAGCGAAAUGCGAAAAGUAAUGUGAAUUGCAGAAUUCAGUGAAUCAUCGAAUCUUUGAACGCACAUUGCGCCCGCCAGUAUUCUGGCGGGCAUGCCUGUCUGAGCGUCAUUUCAACCCUCACGCCCCUAGGGCGUGGUGUUGGGGAUCGGCCAGCGCCCUCGCGGGCGAGGCCGUCCCCUAAAUCUAGUGGCGGACCCGUCGUGGCCUCCCCUGCGAAGUAGUGAUAUUCCGCAUAGGAGAGCGACGAGCCCCUGCCGUUAAACCCCCAACUUUCUCAGGUUGACCUCAGAUCAGGUAGGAAUACCCGCUGAACUUAAGCAUAUCAAUAAGCGGAGGA
rnacentral:misc_RNA from 1 species